UACGUAGGGCGCAAGCGUUAUCCGGAAUUAUUGGGCGUAAAGAGCUCGUAGGCGGUUUGUCGCGUCUGCCGUGAAAGUCCGGGGCUCAACUCCGGAUCUGCGGUGGGUACGGGCAGACUAGAGUGAUGUAGGGGAGACUGGAAUUCCUGGUGUAGCGGUGAAAUGCGCAGAUAUCAGGAGGAACACCGAUGGCGAAGGCCGGUCUCUGGGCAUUAACUGACGCUGAGGAGCGAAAGCGUGGGGAGCGAACAGG
rnacentral:rRNA from 1 species